rnacentral:rRNA from 1 species
UACAGAGGUCUCAAGCGUUUGUUCGGAUUCAUUGGGCGUAAAGGGUGCGUAGGCGGCGCGGUAAGUCGGGUGUGAAAUCUUGGAGCUUAACUCCGAAACUGCAUUCGAUACUGCGGUGCUUGAGGACUGGAGAGGAGACUGGAAUUCAUGGUGUAGCAGUGAAAUGCGUAGAGAUCAUGAGGAAGACCAGUGGCGAAGGCGGGUCUCUGGACAGUUCCUGACACUGAGACACGAAGGCCAGGGGAGCAAACGGG